GAAUAAAAAUUUCAUUCAUUUCUACUGUUAAAAACUAGUGUGACUGACGGAAUAACCAAACAAUUAUACAUAGCGUGCCACGUGUACCUCAUGCUGACAUUCGUGGACUACUUUUUAACAAUAAAAAUGGAUAAAUUUUUUGAUUA
rfam:Gossypium raimondii Chr05_contig_159, whole genome shotgun sequence.